GACUCCGUAGCUCGGGUGGUUAGAGCGCUGCACUGAAUUGCAGGUUCGAUUCCUGCCAGGGACU
rnacentral:tRNA from 1 species